rnacentral:rRNA from 1 species
UACGUAGGGGGCGAGCGUUGUCCGGAUUUAUUGGGCGUAAAGAGCUCGUAGGCGGUUCGGUAAGUCGGAUGUGAAAUCUCCACGCUCAACGUGGAGGGGCCAUUCGAUACUGCCGUGACUCGAGUCCGGUAGGGGAGUGUGGAAUUCCCGGUGUAGCGGUGAAAUGCGUAGAGAUCGGGAGGAACACCUGUGGCGAAGGCGGCCCCCUGGGCCGGCCCCUGGACACUGAGACGCGGAAGGCGUGGGGAGCGAACGGG